AGAGUUUGAUCAUGGCUCAGAUUGAACGCUGGCGGAAUGCUUUACACAUGCAAGUCGAACGGCAGCACGGACUUCGGUCUGGUGGCGAGUGGCGAACGGGUGAGUAACAUAUCGGAACGUAUCCAAUAAUGGGGGAUAACUAAUCGAAAGGUUGGCUAAUACCGCAUACGCCCUACGGGGGAAAGCAGGGGAUCUUCGGACCUUGCGUUAAUGGAGCGGCCGAUAUCUGAUUAGCUAGUUGGUGGGGUAAAGGCCCACCAAGGCGACGAUCAGUAGCUGGUCUGAGAGGACGACCAGCCACACUGGAACUGAGACACGGUCCAGACUCCUACGGGAGGCAGCAGUGGGGAAUUUUGGACAAUGGGCGCAAGCCUGAUCCAGCCAUUCCGCGUGAGUGAAGAAGGCCUUCGGGUUGUAAAGCUCUUUCGCAAGAGAAGAAAACUUACUUUUUAAUAAAGAGUGAGGUUGACGGUAUCUUGAUAAGAAGCACCGGCUAACUACGUGCCAGCAGCCGCGGUAAUACGUAGGGUGCGAGCGUUAAUCGGAAUUACUGGGCGUAAAGCGUGCGCAGGCUGUUUUGUAAGUCAGAUGUGAAAUCCCCGAGCUCAACUUGGGAACUGCGUUUGAAACUACAAGACUAGAAUAUGUCAGAGGGGGGUAGAAUUCCACGUGUAGCAGUGAAAUGCGUAGAGAUGUGGAGAAAUACCAAUGGCGAAGGCAGCCCCCUGGGAUAAUAUUGACGCUCAUGCACGAAAGCGUGGGGAGCAAACAGGAUUAGAUACCCUGGUAGUCCACGCCCUAAACGAUGUCAAGCUGGUUGUUGGGUGCAUUAGUACUCCGUAACGAAGCUAACGCGUGAAGUGCCCGCCUG
rnacentral:rRNA from 1 species